rnacentral:rRNA from 1 species
UACAGAGGCCCCAAGCGUUAGCCGGAAUCACUGGGCUUAAAGCGUGUGUAGGCGGGAUGGUAAGUACCUUGUGAAAUCCCACAGCUUAACUGUGGAAAUGCUUGGUAUACUGCCGUUCUUGAGUCACCUAGGGGCAGCUGGAACAGAUGGUGGAGCGGUGAAAUGCAUAGAUAUCAUCUGGAACGCCAAUGGUGCAGACAAGCUGCUGGGGGUGUACUGACGCUGAGGCACGAAAGCCAGGGGAGCAAACGGG